GAUAUUUUCCGGAGGAUGAUUCUUGACAUAUCUAGCUAUUUUUGGCAUUUGGAUAUCAUGUAAAACUUCCUCUUGAUCAUGAGAUUCUUCUUCAGCAUCUUGCAAAUUUUUAGGCUCACGUUCCUGCUGGUUAUCAAUUUCAGUUUCCUGAGACUGUUCAUUAGGUCUCCUGUUUUGAUCGUUUUGGUUUGCUGAAAUUCUG
rnacentral:lncRNA from 1 species